rfam:Macrostomum lignano uti_cns_0018030, whole genome shotgun sequence.
AAAACGGCCCUUUUAGGGGCCACAAAAUAGUAAUUAUAUUUCCUAU